rnacentral:lncRNA from 1 species
CCCAUGGCCCAUAGGCGACAAGUGAUGACACAGAGAUGUCCCCAUUGGGGACAGUGAUGGUGACAUGGGGACAGUGAUGACACAGAGGUGUCCCUGUAGGUGACAAUGAUGACACAGAGAUGUCCCCAUAGGUGACAAUGACAUUGGGAUGACCCCAUUGGGGUCAAUGAUGGUGACAUGGGGACAGUGAUGACACAGAGAUGUCCCCAUAGGUGACAAUGACAUUGAGGUGUCCCCAUGGCCGCCAUAGGGGACAAUGAUGACACAGAGAUGUCCCCACGGCCCAUUGGGGACAAUGACGGUGACACAGAGACGCCCCCAUUGGGGUCAAUGACACUGAGAUGCCCCCAUAGGUGACGGUGCCCCUCCCCGCGUCCCUCUGUCCCCAUUGUCCCCUCUGUCCCCAUUGUCCCCUCAGUGCCCCCCCCCCCCCCGAGUGCCACUGUGACCCCGUCCCCAUUUUGACCCAAAUUUGGGCCAUUUCGGGGCCGGAAACGAAAACUGUGAGCGACCGCAGCCACCGCCACUGUGACCCCAACCGUGACCCCAAAAUGUCCCCAAACGUCCCCUAAAUGUCCUCCGUGGCCCCCAACGCCCCCUCUGUGUCCCCGACGUCCCCCCACAAUGGCCCUUUUCCCCCAUUGUUGCCCAUUUCGGUCCCUUUUUACCCCAUUUCCUCCCUUCGUGUCCCCGUGCGACGCAGUCUCGUCCUCAAUUAAAGCUUUUGUAGCUCACCGUGG